rnacentral:rRNA from 1 species
AACGAACGCUGGCGGCAGGCCUAGCACAUGCAAGUCGAGCGAGACCUUCGGGUCUAGCGGCGGACGGGUUAGUAACGCGUGGGAACGUGCCCUUCUCUGCGGAAUAGCCACUGGAAACGGUGAGUAAUACCGCAUACGCCCUUCGGGGGAAAGAUUUAUCGGAGAAGGAUCGGCCCGCGUUAGAUUAGAUAGUUGGUGGGUAACGGCCUACCAAGUCUACGAUCUAUAGCUGGUUUUAGAGGAUGAUCAGCAACACUGGGACUGAGACACGGCCCAGACUCCUACGGGAGGCAGCAGUGGGGAAUCUUAGACAAUGGGCGCAAGCCUGAUCUAGCCAUGCCGCGUGUGUGAUGAAGGUCUUAGGAUCGUAAAGCACUUUCGCCAGGGAUGAUAAUGACAGUACCUGGUAAAGAAACCCCGGCUAACUCCGUG